rnacentral:rRNA from 1 species
CAAUAGCGUAUAUUAAAGUUGUUGCGGUAAAAAAGCUCGUAGUUGGAUUUCUACCGAAGAUGGCCGGUCGGGUCUUCGACCUUGUAUCUGGUUUUGUCUUUGGUAUCCUCAUAGGGAACGUUUCUGCGCUUUAUUGCGUGGUGCGGUAUCUAUGACUUUUACUUUGAGGAAAUUAGAGUGUUCACGGCAGGCAAACGCCUUGAAUAUAUUAGCAUGGAAUAAUAACAUAGGAUCUUCGUCCUAUUUUGUUGGUUUCUAGGGCUAAGAUAAUGAUUAAUAGGGAUAAUUGGGGGCAUCUGUAUCAACGCGUCAGAGGUGGAAUUCUUGGAUUGCGUUGCGACAAACUACUGCGAAAGCAUUUGCCAAGGAUGUUUUCAUUGA